rnacentral:rRNA from 1 species
GACGAACGCUGGCGGCGUGCCUAAUACAUGCAAGUCGAGCGAAUCUUUGGGAGCUUGCUCCCAAAGAUUAGCGGCGGACGGGUGAGUAACACGUGGGCAACCUGCCUAUAAGACUGGGAUAACUUCGGGAAACCGGAGCUAAUACCGGAUAAUUCAUAUCUACUCAUGUAGAUAUGCUGAAAGACGGUUUCGGCUGUCACUUAUAGAUGGGCCCGCGGCGCAUUAGCUAGUUGGUGAGGUAAUGGCUCACCAAGGCAACGAUGCGUAGCCGACCUGAGAGGGUGAUCGGCCACACUGGGACUGAGACACGGCCCAGACUCCUACGGGAGGCAGCAGUAGGUAAUCUUCCGCAAUGGACGAAAGUCUGACGGAGCAACGCCGCGUGAGUGAUGAAGGUUUUCGGAUCGUAAAACUCUGUUGUUAGGGAAGAAUAAGUACCAGAGUAACUGCUGGUACCUUGACGGUACCUAACCAGAAAGCCACGGCUAACUACGUGCCAGCCGCCGCAGUAA